CUAUAUGUACUUUCUAUUAUGUACUAUAUGUAUUUUAAGAGAUUAAAACUAAACUUUGUAUUUGUGGAUAAUCUAAGCACUAUACCCAGAUGCACAGACACUCUUUCCUUAGCCUGUGUUUUAUAUAAUUUUAACAUUAGCUUUAAUACAAAUU